UACGUAGGGAGCGAGCGUUAUCCGGAUUCAUUGGGCGUAAAGCGCGCGUAGGCGGCUGCCUAAGCGGAACCUCUAACCCCGGGGCUCAACCUCGGGCCGGGUUCCGAACUGGGCGGCUCGAAUGCGGUAGAGGAGAGCGGAAUUCCCGGUGUAGCGGUGGAAUGCGCAGAUAUCGGGAAGAACACCGAUGGCGAAGGCAGCUCUCUGGGCCGGCACUGACGCUGAGGCGCGAAAGCUGGGGGAGCGAACAGG
rnacentral:rRNA from 1 species